rnacentral:SRP_RNA from 1 species
GGCCGGGUGCGAUGCAAGGGUCGACUGUGAAUCUGGUCAGGUCGGAAACGAAGCAGCCAUAAGCAGUACCGGCCUUGUGCCGUCGUCUUCCCGGCCGCC